UACGAAGGGGGCUAGCGUUGCUCGGAAUCACUGGGCGUAAAGGGUGCGUAGGCGGGUUCUUAAGUGAGGGGUGAAAGGUUCGGGCUCAACCCGGACACUGCCUUUCAUACUGGGAGCCUUGAGUGCGGGAGAGGCGAGUGGAAUGGUCGGUGUAGCGGUGAAAUGCGUAGAUAUCGAUCGGAACACCCAUGGCGAAGGCAGCUCGCUGGCCUGCAACUGACGCUGAGGCGCGAAAGCGUGGGGAGCAAACAGG
rnacentral:rRNA from 1 species